UGUUUCAUAGCUCCGUUGGUUAGAGCAUGGUGCUGGUGAUGCCAAGGUUGCAAGUUCAAUCCCUGCAUUGGACAG